rnacentral:rRNA from 1 species
UAGAGCAGCUUGCAAUUUUUGUAAGUGCGGCCCAAGUCCGGUUACUCACUGAAGCUAAGCAGGGCUGAGCCUGGUCAGUACCUAGAUGGGAGACUGCAUGGGAAAAAACUAGGUUGCUGUUGGAA